rnacentral:rRNA from 1 species
CACGUAGGGUGCGAGCGUUGUCCGGAAUUAUUGGGCGUAAAGAGCUCGUAGGCGGUGUGUCGCGUCGGCCGUGAAAACCUGCAGCUUAACUGUGGGCUUGCGGUCGAUACGGGCAUCACUGGAGUUCGGCAGGGGAGACUGGAAUUCCUGGUGUAGCGGUGAAAUGCGCAGAUAUCAGGAGGAACACCGAUGGCGAAGGCAGGUCUCUGGGCCACUAC